GUCACUCUUGCUCAGGCUGGUCUUGAACUCCUGACCUCAAAGGAUCCUCCCGCCUCGGCCUCCCAGAGUGAUUUCACUACCCUACAUUAGCGGAUUUGCAGUGGCUUGAAAACCCGUCUCGUGUUUCGUCUGGAUUUCUCGGUUGUUUCAGACAAACCCUCGGCUGGUCACAAUUCUUUGCCUGGUGGGGUGACCCAAAUCUUUAUUCCUGAAAGGUAUGAAGUCUCAGUAGUCCUUUCUUCCUUUUCUUUCUUUCUUUCCUUUCUUCCUUUCCUUCCUUCUUUCCUUCCUUUCUUUCUUAUUUUUUUCUUCUUCUUUGUUGUUGUCACUAUUGUUGUUGUCUGUUGUUACUGUAGGUUUGAGUUGCCUGUUUGUUCAAUGGCAUUACUAGACCAACAUGGAUGUUUGGUAGUCUUAGCUUCCAAUUCAAUGGAAACAUUUUCCCUCUGAAAACCAAAACCUCCAAACCAGCAGAGCUCAAAACAGCAGAGCAGCAGAGCUGCUGCAUCCUGUAAGAUGGAACGCCAUGCUUGCAGGGCGUGUCUCCUAGCCGACAGCCUAGCAGUCUUCAGGAGGCCAUGCCACUGUCCUGGUAAGCCAGCAGCUUCUGGGUGAUGGCACAUGCGGUGAAACAAGUGAACUCGAGUGGGAACACACUCACUGCUGUAUUUCUUUUGCUGUGAAAUGAGUUUCUGGAUUAGAAGCAAUACGAUGUGGAGUAUGAAGUCACAUGAUAGUGAAUAUGGCACAAACGCUAUGGUCAAGGAAGGCAGAUCAGUAUUGAGAUCGUGUGUCCAUCCCAAAGACGACAAAUCCCUUUCCUCUGCAUGCUGGAAGGGGUCCGACAUAAUCACCUUGCCACCACGGGCUCACUGCUCUCAGGGAAACGCGCCGGAUCGGGCUCAGUGGCGUGCGCGGCUGCGCAGGCACCCAGCUGGGUCCACAGUGCCCGGGAAGUCUGUGGGUGAAUCCAGAACAAAGCUGUGUUUGUUCUGUGCUUAAAGAUUCAGCUGUGUUAGAUGGAGCAAAAAGCAAGGACCCUGUCCCUUACAGCCACACUGCCAAAAACAAUCGCGACGUCGCAGUUUCCAGGCGGCCUCCCCAUCAGCACUGGACUAGUGAAAAAGCUGUUGAUUUGGUGAAUGUGCGGUAGCAAGCCAGUCGGAGCCGCCGGCAGUCGGGGUUGUGAAGGUUUCCCUAGGUUGCUUGACAUUAAAUGGCUAUGCUGCACAUUCCUUCCUUUUUAAGGCUGUGGCAAAUUUCCAUUCAAGGGUUAAACUCAUCCAUAGAAAAUUAAGCCAUUUCUUGCUACACUAAAACAUAAGAACAGCAGUCACGUGACAGUGCGGGUCUCAACGCGGCUGGUCUGGGCAGCCUUGCCGAGCAGCUUUACAGACAGGCUGAGUGUGACCCGACUUGUUUGCCAGGCAGCUAUUCCAGAAGAGGUAGUUUACUGACAGAAGGAGAUUGAAGGUGGAGUACUGAUUGCACAAUCAAAGCCUAGAGGCUGCUGACCUGAGUAAAAUGUUGUGUAAAUCCUGAACUCACUCUAGAGAAAAAAAAAUUAAGUCACAGGGAGGAAGAGGGAUUAACUCAGCAAUGAAACACCAGGUGACUCCUACUCGCCUCUCCCUAACAGUGACCCAGUGUGCGAGGCUUAGCAAGUCGGUCUCCAUCCAGGCUCCCGUGAGGUCCCGGGAGCAGAGUCCUAUUGGCAUUCUUGGCAAAACAAGUCCUGAUGAAUACGGCAGGAGAACAACUGUAAGGCCCGUAAAGCAUCAGACUAUGACCUGGUGACGGCACUCCGACAGCUGGAACUGCGUUUUCUCUGGCCCAGGGAACUUUGAAAUGCAAAGAGCCACACAACAGACAUGCAGCGAAUUUUGUGAGAAUCAAGUGAAAAAGAAAAUGAGCAGCAGCAGCCAACAUUACACUCUGCUCACGUUUGGAAUUCCUUUAGCCAUCUACAUUUCUUUUUAGCCCUGAGGAUGUGGCCUAGGACUGUCUUUAUGGCUGCACGAUAUGCUGGUUAUACCUAUUCCAAAUUUAUUACAGCAAGACUAGAUCUAAACCAUCACUGCUACAGAGCAUGAAUGAAAAUGUCCAUUGAGACAUGCCAGAGCACAUUUCAAACCAGAAAUCGCCUUGAUAGAAGCUCAUCAGUGCAGGUCUAAAGCAGGUCAUGAAUUGAGAGCAUCUCUAGAGAAAAGUAAAUGGUUAAGUUCUCAAACCAGAAGCAGAGAUCAUUGAAACCAUCACAUUGUUGGCGCUCAGAAGAGGGAAGCACCCCGAUGACCCAAAUUGGGCUCUCAUGCACGAGAUGAUGAAUUCGGUCAAUUUGUUAUACUUUGUAUUCCUUGCUGUUCUACAGAACCUGUGAUGAAAUUUAAAUUGACUGAUAAAUUCCUUAAUAGAAUUUAAAUGAUAAGUGUCCCAAGAUGUGUUUUCUUCUGGAUCAGAUAUAAGAAUGUGCUGAAAUAGGAAAUCAGCUUCACAACAGGAAAUGCACUUCAAAGAAAUAUGACUCACAAACUUUUUUGAAUGAACUCCACUUGGGGAGACGGUUCCCCACGGCUUGCCCUCCUCAUCCAUUCCAACUUUCCCAUGGGAAGAAAAGGCUUGACAACAAAGAAUUAGAGAGGAACAAAUCAAUCAAGGUAGUAAUUAUGCAGCAAUUCCACAAGAACAAUGACCAAAAGAAAACUACGACAAUAAUUUUACAAAUACAUUAUUUAAUGCAAAAAUAUCAGCACUUCACGAUCAUGGCCAACUUAAGUUAUGCCUGAGAAGUAGGGUGAUGACACAACUUAUCACUCACACCAUAACACUUCUGAGAGUAUAAGGUAGUGCUGUUAAUAAUUUUGCCAGGAGAUUAGGCACAACCUGCAAGUGGCCCAGGAGGCCAAGGAGACCCGGGACAUGUGGUCGCCCAAGCGAUAACUCACAAACAACAUAUCCUUCAAGGAAGUGUGGGAAUUCCAAGCACCUAGAUGAGCACUUGCUCAAUAAGGACCCUGCAGCAUUAUUGGCAGUUAUACACCAAAAGCAGGUUCUCGGUAUCCUCUAGCAAUAUGCUAAUUCUAGUGCACAAGCGCUCCUGACAGCGGGGGCCUUCGUGCACCUCAGAGAUUUCGCUCCACCUGACUUCAGUCCACGAGGGUUCACCUCACCACUCAUGUCAUUCAGUUCCAAAUAUUUCUUAAUUUGUUUUAUGAAGUUAGUUUAGAUUCCAAGAUUUCUUUACUAAUAUUUGGUUUCCAACAUACAUUUAAACUAUUCUUCUGUUAUUUCUUUACUUAUUUUUUAAUUGACAAAUAAAAAUUUUACAUAUGUAUCAUGUACAACCUGAUGUUUUGAAAUGUUUACAUUGUGGAAUGUCUCAAUCCAUCUAAUGAACAUAUGCAUUACCUCACGUACUAUUUCUUUGUGGUGAGAACACUUCAAAUCUACUCUCAGUGAUUUUCCAGUAAACAAUAUAUUCUUAUUUACUAUGGUCGCUAUGAUGUAUAGUAGAUCUCUUGAACUUAUUCCUCUUAUCUAAUUGAAAUUUUGUGUCCGUUUACCAACAUAUCCCCAAUUGCUCCACCUCCAGCCUCUGGUCACUACCAUAACUUAACACAGUGCCCUUCAAGUUCACCCGUUUUCACAAUUGACAGGAUUUCCUUCCUUUUUAAGGCUGAAUAGUAUUCCCUUGUGUAUAUACACCCCGCUUUCUUUAUCCAUUCCUCUGUUGAUGGACACUUAGGUUGACUCCGUAUCUUAGCUGUUAGGAACAGUGCUGCAAUGACCAUGAUGAGCAUGCACGUGUCUCUUCAACUACUGGAUACUUCAUAUUCUUUGAAUGUACCAAUGGUGGGGUUGCUGGAUCAUCUGGUAGUUGUAUUUUUAAUUUUUUGAGGAGCCUCCAUACCAUUUUCUAUAUGGCCAUCUUUUGUUAUUGAUUUCUAGUUUUAUUGACAAGUGUAGUCAGAAAACACAGUCUUGAUAUGAUAUUGCUUCUGGAACUUAUUGAGGCAUCUUAUGUGGCCUAGUAUGAUUUUCUUUUAACAUUUAGUUUUUGCUCAAAAAGAGAGCAUUUAUUGCCCCUACUUUUACUUCCUCAUGGUACCUAUGUUGCCACUUCCAUGUCUGUGGGUGCUGGUGACCUGAAACCACCAGCUUCAUCAGUUACCAGG